AUGGAGACUGCCAUAUCUGCAGUUGCUAGUGAACUCGUGAGCCAGUUUGUCUCCUUACUGAUGAACAAGUACUACUCCUUGAGCCAUGCCCAAUCAGAGGAGAAGGUGAUGCAAAGGUUGCAUCACCUCCUGAUGAGAGCUGGCACCAUCCUUGAGGAGGCAGACACACGAUACAUAACCAACUCCGGGAUGAUGAUGCAUCUCAAGACACUCUCAGAGGCCAUGUACCGAGGACACCGUGUGCUGGACUGCUUGAGGUACCAUGCCCUCCAACACAGUGCAGGCUUCGACAAGGUUAGCAUCAGUGACUCGUCUAGCAGCAGCUUGCAUUUAGCCAUUCCUUUCAAGCGUUCUCGAACAACAUCUGGGAAGGAUGACAAGGAAAUGCGCCUCGAGUCACAUGGUGCCUUGAAAAGCUUAGAAAUUGCUAUUGCUAAUAUGGCAGAGUUUAUUGUUCUUCUGGGUGGAUGCCAGCGCAUAUCCCGUAGGCCCUAUGAUGUUUAUCUUUACACCGACAAUUUCAUGUUUGGCCGACACACUGAAAAGCAAAAGCUCUUGAGCUUCUUGUUGGAGCACAACAACCCUCCUGGUGAUCAUGCACUUUCAGUUCUUCCGAUCAUAGGUGGUGCUGGAGUUGGAAAGAAAACCUUGGUUGCUCAUGUGUGUGGCGACCAAAGGGUUCGGUCACGCUUCUCCUCUAUUUUGCACUUGAAUGGACACAACCUCUUGACCAUAUUUGACCAUGGAAGGACCAUGUUUGGGACGAUGUUGGUAGUGAUUGAGUUUGCUUCUGAUGUAGGUGAGGAUGAAUGGAAAAGGUUUCACUCUUUUCUCAUAAGAAUGAGCACAGGAAGCAAGAUCAUCAUCAUAAGUAAACUUAAAAGGUUAACCCGGUUUGGAUCGGUACAGCCUAUUUUCCUAAAUGUUUUGUCUUAUGACGAGUUGAGGUACCUUUUUAAGACACUGGCAUUCGGGAGUGUAGACCCUACAGAACAUCCACGGUUAGUACAACUAGCAGAUGAAUUUUGCAACAUGUUGCAUAAUGUGCCAGCAGGUACACUUAUUGCAACAAAUAUGCUCACGGAUGUAUUGAGAAUGAACCUCAGUGUUCAAUUUUGGCAUUGCAUACUAGAGAAGGGACUAAGAUAUUUUAAGAGAAACUAUUCCACAUGUGGUGGGCGCCUAAGCAUGCUGACGGACCAAGCCCAUUUAGUGGACAUAACGGACUAUGCUUUGCAACCACUUAGCAUGAUAGCUUGUACUCCUAAUGUUUCAAUCAAGAAGGAAUUGCCAAGUCUAACAUUUGGGGAACUUAUAAGAGAUCCUAGUGUUAUCCCGAAACAAGACUUCAUUCUAAUUGCAUGGGAAUCAAGGAUACCGCCUCAUAAUUCAUUUCCUCAUUUGGUUACAAGUCAUGCUCAGGGUACACAUGAAGGUGGUGCCUUAACAGGGAGGAAGCGAAGAGGAGCGCCAAUCUAA
rnacentral:rRNA from 1 species